ACGCUUGAAGUCAGUCGCGUUGGCCAGGGAUCAACCUUGCUUUUGCUUGGUGCACUUUCUGGUUUGACGGGCCAGCAUCAAUUUUGACUAUUGGAUAAAGGUUAAGGGAAUGUGGCAUCUUUGGAUGUGUUAUAGCUCUUGGUCGCAUACAAUGGUUGGGAUUGAGGAACUCAGCACGCCGCAAGGCCGGGUUUUAAACCACGUACGUGCUUAGGAUGCUGGCAAUAUGGCUUUAAUCGACCCGUCUUGAAACACGGACCAAGGAGUC
rnacentral:rRNA from 1 species